AGCUCCAAUAGCGUAUAUUAAAGUUGUUGCAGUUAAAAAGCUCGUAGUUGGACUUCUGAUGCAUUGUUGCGGUCCGCCGCAAGGUGAGCACUGUGACGAUGUGUCUUCCUCUCGCAGGCCUUUGGUGCACUUAAUUGGGUGCCAUUGGAAUGUGGGACCUUUACUUUGAAAAAAUUAGAGUGUUCAAAGCAGGCAACCGCUUGAAUACAUUAGCAUGGAAUAAUGGAAUAGGACUUUGGUUCUAUUUUGUUGGUUUCUAGGACCGAAGUAAUGAUUAAUAGGGACAGUUGGGGGCAUUAGUAUUUAAUUGUCAGAGGUGAAAUUCUUGGAUUUAUGAAAGACUAACUACUGCGAAAGCAUUUGCCAAGGAUGUUUUCAUUAAUCAAGAACGAAAGUACGC
rnacentral:rRNA from 1 species